AUUCCAGCUCCAAUAGCGUAUAUUAAAGUUGUUGCAGUUAAAACGCUCGUAGUCGGAUUUUGGCAUCACGCCGAACUGUCUGCCGAUUGGUAAGUACGGUUUGGCGGGUGCUUCCUUCCGGAGGCUCAUUCCCUUCUUCAUUGAAGGGUUCGUUGGUUCCGGGUCUUUUACUUUGAGAAAAUUAGAGUGUUCAAAGCAGGCCUAUGCUCUGAAUAGGUUAGCAUGGAAUAAUAGAAUAGGACUUUGGUUCUAUUUUGUUGGUUUCUAGGACCGAAGCAAUGAUUAAUAGGGACAGUUGGGGGCAUUCAUAUUCCAUUGUCAGAGGUGAAAUUCUUGGAUUAACGGAAGAUGAACUUCUGCGAAAGCAUCUGCCAAGGAUGUUUUCAUUG
rnacentral:rRNA from 1 species